rnacentral:ncRNA from 1 species
UUGCGACUGCUACCGAGUAGUCGCGGUGCAAUCGAAGCAUUUUGUUCGCGUCGUUAGGUCUUUGAAGAUGCGAACGGAAUGCUUUUUUUGAG